CCUAAAACCAAACACGACCCUUGAGCGCUGGCCUCCAAAUCCCCUUCUGCCUCGUCCUGGCAGUCGCACAGCACCCACACGGAGAAAUAGAAACGCCCGCCGGUGGGAAGCCAAAGGCAAAUGCAGCGUGCACACCACUGGCUGUCCAAGAUGCGGUCACGCACCAGGGUGUCAGAAGCAUUGUUUCUGGAACCAAAGAGCUCCGUCUUCCUUUGUUUUUCAUCCGUGUCUUCUCACGUUUGGUUCUAGAACAUCUGAAGACCAAUCCUGACCCUCCCGCCUGGAUGGACAGGGCUUGACCUCGACACUUCCCAAGCGCCUCAGGACCCCUGACUACCGGUGGGAUCACAGGUGGACCCCUGGCCUCCAUGAAGGCGCCUGCGCACAGGAGGCAGAGAAGGAAGGCGCGUGCUUAUGGCUGGACCCACAGAAGCCCAGCUCUGACAGAACAGCUUCUUUCUUACCCAGAUGGAUGCAGCAAACGCGCAAAUCCACACAAUGGAAUAGUCUUCGGCGGUAAAAAGCAAUCAGCACCGACGCCUGUGACAACAUGGAUGAACCUGGGGAACAUCGAGGCUCCGUGAGGUGCCCAGACUCCAGACUCGGCACGUGGUAUGACUCCGUUUACGUGAAAUUGUUCGCAACAGGCAAACCCAUAAUGGCAGAAAGGAGAUGGCUGGGUACCAGGGCUGGGGACAGGCAAACAGGGGAAGACUGCUAGUGGGUGCAGGGUUUCCCACUGGGGUGAUAAAAACGGUGGCCAUGACUGCAAAACACUGUGAAUGUAUUCCAUGUCACUAAUGGUAAGUUCUAGGUGUUAAACGUUAAGUGUAUUUUACCACAAUUUAAAAAGGAAACCAAACGAAUCUGUGUGCAUUCUCCUUAGUGCAGAGACACGACUUUUAAGGUCUUGGAAGUCAGAAAAGGUGUGCCUGUCCAAGGUAAUGAGUUGGACACAAGAGAAUCAAACAAUGACUCAUGACCAAGGACCUCAUUAAACGCAAGCAGCUGGCAUGGGGUGGGGAGUGGGGCAGGAGCGUCUGGAGGAGUAGCUAGGGAAAGAGCGGAAGCAGAACCUGGGAUCAGGCCUGACCUUCGGGAAAGAUCUAGAUGCUGUGUCUGCAAGGGAAGGAUAGUGGACGCAUUUACAACACACAUUCCUUUGGCAAAGGACAGAAAACCGAACGAGAGAUCGGAAUGCUAAAAUACUCCAUUUUACAAGCUCUAUCUGUGACGUUCUCUUACUUCAGAGCUUCAACACGCAGGGCAGGAAGCUCAGGGUCUCUGAGCUGUAGCUGCCCUUAUCUGUCAGAAGCAGGGUGUCCAGCAGGGCACAGUGGGAAGGCACCCCAAGACUAUGUAAGAGCGAGGCCUCCAUUCAGAGUGACACAACUACUCACACCCAGCCUACAGCCCUGGUUUCCCAGACCCACCUUGUGGGAGGAGCCUCUGGACAGUCAUGGGCCCGACUGCUGACCAGUCUGCCCAGGGAAACUGCUUUCCGGAGCCCAGGCGACUAAGGAGUGUGAAGCCGCUGGUGACACGCUCUGGCUGAGGGACGCAGGUCCUCCCUGGCCCUGGUUCUUGGCCGUGGUUCCACCUGAGAACCACUUUCACAAUCCUGAUGCCACACCCCGACCACAACCCCAAGUAAAUCAAUCUGGGCAGUGGCUCCAGGCAGGAGCUGUGGUUAAAUGCUCUGCAGGAGAUCCCAGAGAGCAGCCAAGUGGAGCAGUACUGGCCACGAAGUCUGCCUUUCUCUGGCUCCGGUCACUCCCCUUCGCCACUGGUGACAAUGAGAUGUUGUCUCCUGUCUUCUGGCCCCUGAAGCAGAGGGAGACCCCACCUCCCACUGCCAGCCUGGAGGGAAAGCACAGCAAAGGGGGAAGGACUUCUCCCUUCAACCACGUUGCUGGACGGUGUUUUCUGGGCGUUCUUUUCCUUGGAAUUCUUGGUAAGCUUCAGUAGAGCAAAUCCAGCCUAGGAGGCUGGACUGCUCCUUCCCUGAUCAGUCUCUGAAUCCCUAAGCUACAGGGGUCCCUAAGACUAACAACAGAGGACAGUGGCAAACAGUGAUUACAGAUGUUGUUUGGGGUUUUAAGUCAGCAGUAAAUACACAUGAUACAUCUCCGAAAGGUGCAGAAGUAUAAAGCUCACUCCCUUCCGCGGCCCUCAGGCUUGAGGGGAAGCGUGCUACUGGUUUCUUACGGCUCCCUCCAGAAAUAUUCUGUGCACUGUCAGGCAUAAAGUGUGUUUUUAAAAUGUGACUGGAGCAGUUGGCCUGUUAGCUCAGUUGGUUAGAAGAGCCGAGUGAUAAAUCCGAAAAUUAUGUGGAAACUAAGCCCAGACUAUUCCCUUGUUUCCCCUGCAUGGUUUACGUUGCUAAAUGAGACCAAAUGGUGCAUCUCAUGGCAAGAACAGAGGGAAUAUUGCCAUUCUCUCAAUGACCUGGCUUUUGAUUGGGAGCCCAGCUGAAAGAACACACAUUUCCCCCACACCACUGCCUGUUUCCGUGACAAGACUUAGAAGCAGAAAGGGAAAAAACCCUCCAUAUGGUCACCAGUAACAGGAGGUCGGGUGAUGUGCCUCUUGUCGGCAUCUACAACCUGGCCGUGCAUCAGAGAUGCGGGAACAGAAGCCCAGGGCUUCCAGAGUCACGAGGAAGGGCACAGUCCAGCGGAGCGGCUGGACCUGGAGGUUCACGCCCUAUCUGGGGCACCUGGGCCAUAUUACCUAGCCUCUGUGUCUGCAAGCUUCUUCCUUGCUCAAGAGAUCUUAGCAAAUUUAGAUAGAAAGGCACUUUGUUGAAAAGAGAUUGGACUGUACCCAGAUUGAUGGGAAGACUGGAGAACCACGUUCAGGACAUGAGUGGACAUCCAGGGACACCAGGUGCCCAAGACCACAAUGAGACCACGGCCACGGGAGCGGUCCAGCUGGGAUAAAGCUCCCUGGCCCCCGGACACUGCAUGGCCCCUCACCGUGGGCUCCUCCCAAGACAGGCUGGGCACCCCUCAAACCAUCGGCUCUGCACGUCUCAGGCUGGGCUUUCCAGCAUCGCAGGUGCCCUUCCCCUCCCCCAUGCUUUCGCCCGGGGCCCAGAGAGGCCUGGAGAUGGCAGCAGGCACACACAGCACAAAGUCCUACAGAAAAAGAGAACAAACCCUAUCUGGUAUCCGGAAGGAAAAACUUCUUUCAAAUGUGGAGAAGUAACACAAAAAUGUUACAUGUGGGCUACCUAGUCCUAGGCUGAGCCACCUCAUUGCCUGACGACAUUGUUACACUGUGAGCAACACCAAGGCCUCACCUUGAGCAAAGGGUUACAAGGGUCAUGUUUAUACUGGGAUCAAUAAUAAACAGUCCUGAAAAGUGAGAUUUAAA